ACCUGGGUGGCUCAGUCGGUUGAGCGUCUGACUUCAGCUCAGGUCAUGAUCUCACCGCUCCGUGAGUUCAAGCCCCACAUGGGGUU
rnacentral:tRNA from 1 species